rnacentral:pre_miRNA from 1 species
AACAUACUCCCUCCGUCCGGAAAUACUUGUCAUCAAAAUGUAUAAAAGGGGAUGCAACUAGACGUAUUUUAGUUCUAGAUACAUCUCUUUUUAUCCAUUUUGAUGACAAGUAUUUUCGGACGGAGGGAGUACAAU